CAUGUAUAUACCGCAAGAUUCGAUGUGACGAAAAAAAUCUUGAAAAGUUUUUAGUUUUUGAGUGAUUCUAAACUAGGGCCUUGUUUAGUUCCGAAAAGUGAAAAGUUUCCGAUACUGUAGCACUUUUGUUUGUUUGUGACAAAUUUUAUCCAAUUAUGGAGUAACUAGGAUCAAAAGAUUCGUCUCAUGAUUUACAGGUAAACUGUGUAAUUAGUUUUUAUUUUCGUUUAUAUUUAAUGUUUCAUGCAUGUGCCACAAGAUUCGAUAUGAUGGAGAAUCUUGAAAACUUUUUGGUUUUCAGGUUGAACUAAACAAGGCCUAGGCCUCAGUUCAGUUACUGCUACU
rnacentral:lncRNA from 1 species